rnacentral:rRNA from 1 species
UACGUAGGGGGCUAGCGUUGUCCGGAAUCAUUGGGCGUAAAGCGCGUGUAGGCGGUCCGGUAAGUCCGCUGUGAAAGUCGGGGGCUCAACCCUCGAAAGCCGGUGGAAACUGUCGGGCUAGAGUACGGAAGAGGCGAGUGGAAUUCCUGGUGUAGCGGUGAAAUUCGUAGAUAUCGGGAGGAAUACCAGUGGCGAAGGCGGCUUUCUGGGCCUGUUCUGACGCUGAGGAGCGAAAGCGUGGGGAGCAAACCGG